CCAGUGCAAUGGGUCUAUUGCUGUAUUGCUGUAUAUGUAUUGCUGCCAUGGCUGCGUGACCUUUUCGUGGGCCGCGCGUGGAGUUUCUAGGGUGGAUAAAAUUAGAAAUGACAUCAUCAUGCAUGAAAUAUUUGUUGGUAUGUAAAACUUGGAGUUAUACAAAAAUUCCUUUCCAACAGACAAUUUGAGAAUACGACCACCUUGUUAACAUACGACCAACGACCACCUUUUGAUG